rnacentral:rRNA from 1 species
AUGGCGAAGAAGGCCGCAAAGCGAGCUGUUGGUGAAGCAAGGGGUCGGGCAUAUGAGGACCUCUACCAACGGUUAGGCACGAAGGAAGGUGAAAGGGACAUCUAUAAGAUGGCUAAGAUCCGGGAGAGGAAGACGAGGGAUAUUGGCCAAGUCAAAUGCAUCAAGGACGGAGCAGGCCAACUCUUGGUGAAGGACGAAGAGAUUAAGCAUAGAUGGCGGGAGUACUUCGACAAGCUGUUCAAUGGGGAGAAUGAGAGUUCUACCAUUGAACUGAAUGACUCCUUUGAUGAGACCAGCAUGCGUUUUGUGCGGCGCGUCCAGGAGUCUGAGGUGAAGGAGGCUUUAAAAAGGAUGAAAGGAGGCAAGGCGAUGGGCCCUGAUUGUAUCCCCAUUGAGGUGUGGAAAGGUCUCGGGGACAUAGCGAUAGUAUGGCUAACCAAGCUUCUCAACCUCAUUUUUCGGGCAAACAAGAUGCCAGAAGAAUGGAGACGGAGUAUUUUAGUACCAAUCUUCAAGAACAAGGGGGAUGUUCAGAGUUGUACUAAUUACCGUGGAAUUAAGCUGAUGAGCCAUACAAUGAAGCUAUGGGAGAGAGUCAUUGAGCACCGCUUAAGAAGAAUGACAAGCGUGACCAAAAAUCAGUUUGGUUUCAUGCCUGGGAGGUCGACCAUGGAAGCCAUUUUCUUGGUACGACAACUUAUGGAGAGAUAUAGGGAGCAUAAGAAGGACUUGCAUAUGGUGUUCAUUGACUUGGAGAAGGCCUAUGAUAAGAUACCGCGGAAUGUCAUGUGGUGGGCCUUGGAGAAACACAAAGUCCCAGCAAAGUACAUUACCCUCAUCAAGGACAUGUACAAUAAUGUUGUGACAAGUGUUCGAACAAGUGAUGUCGACACCGAUGACUUCCCGAUUAAGAUAGGACUGCAUCAGGGGUCAGCUUUGAGCCCUUAUCUUUUUGCAUUGGUGAUGGAUGAGGUCACAAGGGGUAUACAAGGAGAUAUCCCAUGGUGUAUGCUCUUUGCGGAUGAUGUGGUGCUAGUUGACGAUAGUCGGACAGGGGUAAAUAGGAAGUUAGAGUUAUGGAGACAAACCUUGGAAUCGAAAGGGUUUAGGCUUAGUAGAACUAAAACCGAGUACAUGAUGUGCGGUUUCAGUACUACUAGCUGUGAGGAGGAGGAGGUUAGCCUUGAUGGCCAGGUGGUACCUCGGAAGGACACCUUUCGGUAUUUGGGAUCAAUGUUGCAGGAGGAUGGGGGUAUUGAUGAAGAUGUGAACCAUCGAAUCAAAGCCGGAUGGAUGAAGUGGCGCCAAGCUUCUGGCAUUCUCUGUGACAAGAGAGAGCCACAAAAGCUAAAAGGCAAGUUCUACAGGACGGCGGUUCGACCCGCAAUGUUGUAUGGCGCGGAGUGUUGGCCGACUAAAAGGCGACAUGUUCAACAGUUAGGUGUGGCGGAGAUGCGUAUGUUGAGAUGGAUGUGUGGCCACACGAGGAAGGAUCGAGUCCGGAAUGAUGAUAUACGAGAUAGAGUUGGGGUAGCACCAAUUGAGGAGAAGCUUGUCCAACAUCGUUUGAGAUGGUUUGGGCAUAUUCAGCGCAGGCCUCCAGAAGCUCCAGUGCAUAGCGGACGGCUAAAGCGUGCGGAGAAUGUCAAGAGAGGGCGGGGUCGACCGAUUUUGACAUGGGAGGAGUCCGUUAAGAGAGACCUGAAGGAUUGGAGUAUCGACAAAGAGCUAGCUAUGGACAGGGGUGCGUGGAAGCUUGCUAUCCAUGUGCCAGAGCCAUGA